rnacentral:snoRNA from 1 species
GUAAUUACUGUUACAUGUCGGGUAGAGAAAAAAGAGAGAAGGAAAAGCUUUUUAACCUGAGCUUCAUUUUUAGAGUUUGGAUUUCUUUUUUAAGAUGCUCAUCGUUUGCUUGGUCAUCUGCAUUUGGUGAUGCCUGAGCUACAUCUGUUCAUCACAU